GGUGGCAUCCAGUAAGAAAGGAGAGCCCGUCAGUGCCGAAGAUCUGGGGGUGAGUGGUGCACUGACAGUGCUUAUGAAGGAUGCAAUCAAGCCCAAUCUCAUGCAGACACUGGAGGGCACUCCAGUGUUUGUCCAUGCUGGCCCGUUUGCCAACAUCGCACAUGGCAAUUCCUCCAUCAUUGCAGACCGGAUCGCACUCAAGCUUGUUGGCCCAGAAGGGUUUGUAGUGACGGAAGCAGGAUUUGGAGCAGACAUUGGAAUGGAAAAGUUUUUUAACAUCAAAUGCCGGUAUUCCGGCCUCUGCCCCCACGUGGUGGUGCUUGUUGCCACUGUCAGGGCUCUCAAGAUGCACGGGGGCGGCCCCACGGUCACUGCUGGACUGCCUCUUCCCAAGGCUUACAUACAGGAGGUAACCUGAGUUAUUUCUCAUCACUUGUCCUAGAAAGCACCACACCUUGAAUCAGCAUUUCUCCACCUGGCCCAUGUGGAAAUGAAUGGGUUAUUGCUGUGACCCAGGGUGCAGGGUGCCAAAAGGCCUGCAGUGUGCUGAGGAGUUAUAUUAAAUGAGUAGAUAGGGAAGAUGCACCUCACAAAACAGAAUUGUCCCACAUAGGGUGUCAAUAAGCCACUGCCCUAGACCAGUGGUUGAUUCUCAACAGCUGAUUUUGACCCCGGGGACAUUUGGCAAUGUCUAGAGACUUUUUUUAUUAUUACAACUGGAGGUGGGGAGUGCUACUGGAAUCUAGUGGGUAGAAACCGGGGAUGCUGGCUAAACAUCCUUUAAUGCACAGGAUAGCCCCUACAACAUUAUCC
rnacentral:sRNA from 1 species